GGGGUGAGUAACACGUGGAUAACCUACCUAUAAGACUGGGAUAACUUCGGGAAACCGGAGCUAAUACCGGAUAAUAUUUUGAACCGCAUGGUUCAAAAGUGAAAGACGGUCUUGCUGUCACUUAUAGAUGGAUCCGCGCUGCAUUAGCUAGUUGGUAAGGUAACGGCUUACCAAGGCAACGAUGCAUAGCCGACCUGAGGAGGGUGAUCGGCCACACUGGAACUGAGACACGGUCCAG
rnacentral:rRNA from 1 species